AGCAAUCAGAUGAAGGGUUAGAACGGCCACGCCAGAGAUGCGCCAAUACAGAACAGAGGUCACAAACCUUUCCUGUGUGGGGCCAGAGAGGCAACAUUUGGCUUUCUCAUCCAUGCCCGUGUAGGAAAGCAGCCACGGAUGACACGUGGGUGAACGCAGAGAAACAGGGGUCAGCUGAGUUUGGCCCUCUGGGUGUCAUUUGCCCGACUCUGAGAUGCAAUAAAAGAAAACACGUUGAAAAGAAAACACAUCAGGUCCACCCCACGGGGGAAGAGCGCCAGCAAAACAUCAAGCUCCAGACAUGCAGGACACACGGGGAGACUGCUCUGGAAAUGUCUGUGCCCCAGAACGGGACAACCCAGGGCUCCGUGGGGACAGGCGUCCGCGGAAGAGGGGCCCGACGCACGGCUGGCGUUUGAUCGACAUCCGUGGGUGUCGAACAAAGAAAGAAGCAAAGGCAGGGAGUGGUCACUCGUCCAGGGCUCGGAAGACCCAAGGCCCCGAGAGAGGAGCUCCUGUACUCACCCCCAGCGCCGCCCUGGGGCCACGCUGACUGCAGUCUGCGCUCCGUCCACUUCAGAGGGGGCCACAUGACUGUCCAAGUUGCUGGCAGCUGCUGCCUCUGUAGGGGGACCAAACUGGCUGUUCCUUCCGCUGGCCAGUGGGCGUCACCCAAAACACAGCCUCAUCCAGACGCACCUCCAUCCUCGCACACCCCAAGUCCGUCUCCGUGGGCUGAAUUCAAAAGCAAAACGUGAGAAACCCUGGCCCAUCGUGAAAUUUUCCAUCUUCAAAGCAACGUCGCUGCAAACAAGGGGACAGCCCCAUGCCAGCAGGCGGUUCUGGUUCUGGAGGAUUCCCUCUGAUCAGGGCUCUGAGCCGUGUGGUAGUGCCCCGUCAGCAUUAAGCUGUGCGGUGUUUCCACCCUCGAAGCAGCUCGUCUGCCUGCUUUGAGGGUCAUAUCCUGAGCGUGACAAAGCUGAGCGGGGACAACAUCUGAACGGGGCCGUGGGCGUCAUGAUCAAUGCCCUGUGGUCGCCGGGAUUUUAGGACUCCCAGCUGCUGGACACUUACUGCUGAUUUUCUUGGAGUGAAAACGCGUUUUAGUUCAUUUCAGCCUCUUCUGUGAGUUAGAGAAAUUCCCCAUUUCAGAUAAGUAGUUUAAGAAAAAGACAAUGACUAAGCGUGCACUUUAUGUAACAACCAUUAAGAUAAUUUGACGCUCCGUCUGAUUCAGGGGACAAUUCUCUUGAAAAAGAGACACUCUGCUUUCUUGAGCAUUUCCAAAAGACCGAAAAUUAAAUCUCUUCCCCUAUAAGAAGAAAAAGCCUGGUUUUCCAUCUAAAUUAUUAAAAUUUAGCUGAAGUAGGAAAACAGUCCUUCAAACCAUGCAGGAGCGGAGUCAAAGCACAGAUUCUGUUCUGAAAAAGGUGGACGUUGCCUGGGCGUUAACUCACCAGGCGCCAGUGCGCUUCAAGCAGAGGCUACCGUGACCCCACGGUGCGGAGGAGGAAACCGAGGCGGGGGCGGGCAGCCCCUCACUCACAGAGUAA
rnacentral:lncRNA from 1 species